GAAAUCGUUUCCAGUUUUCAGUGAAUCCAUCUGCCCUGGCUUGCAAUGGUAAUCUCUCUCCCUCUCUAAGUUGCCAUAAUUUUCCAUCCUUAAUGUUAAAAUUGGUCAAAUGUGAAAAGUUUCCAGCUUUAUUGAGCAUGUUUAUUGUGUGGAUUUUGGCAAUUGAUGUAUGCUAUUGGAAUGAAUCAUGUAUAAAUCUGCCAUUAAAAUAUGCUCUGAGUUCUGAUUUUGGCGAUUGAUGUAUGCUAUUUGAAUGAAUCAUGUUUAAAUCUGCUAUUAAAAUAUGUUAUGAGUUAUGAUUUUGGCGAUUGAUGUAUGCUAUUGGUAUGAAUCAUGUUUAAAUCUGCCAUUAAAAUAUGUUCUGAGAUCUGAUAUUGCUUGAAUCCAAUUCUAAGAUAUAUUGAUUGCUCAGGAAAAUAUAGUGAUGAUGAGUGAAGAAAAUUACUGAAAAGUUGUCUUUAAUAGAAAUAACAUUGGAUUUUGAUAUGUUUGCAAAUGACAGGUGAAAUUUAUUGGGUAGUAGAUUUGAUGUCCUAACUUUUGAAAAGUAUCUUAAUGUAAUUAUAUCUUUAGAAAACGGUGGCGUAUGAGAUUAAGUUAUUAGGGUUAAACUUUACUUUAAUUUCUACAUUCAUGUGGUUGUUUAUGUAGACUCUGAGCGACGUGGUACGGUAUUUUGAAAAUAGUUGUUGCUCGCUGCCUAUGGCUCAUGACCAACUAUUGUUGAGGUGAGCUUGCAUUAGCUUUGGAGUUAUUCGUUUUUCUGCAGUGUCGAUGGGUUGUGCUUAAUUUUCUUAUUCCAAAACAUACUGUCGUUUUACAGAAAAAUAAAUUGAUAACUCAGCUGGGUUGGUUCUUUGGAGUUCGUAUAUGAUUUCAGUUCUUGGUGAAAUGAAG
rnacentral:lncRNA from 1 species